UACGUAGGGUGCGAGCGUUGUCCGGAAUUACUGGGCGUAAAGAGCUCGUAGGUGGUUUGUCGCGUUGUUCGUGAAAACUCACAGCUUAACUGUGGGCGUGCGGGCGAUACGGGCAGACUGGAGUACUGCAGGGGAGACUGGAAUUCCUGGUGUAGCGGUGGAAUGCGCAGAUAUCAGGAGGAACACCGGUGGCGAAGGCGGGUCUCUGGGCAGUAACUGACGCUGAGGAGCGAAGGCGUGGGGAGCGAACAGG
rnacentral:rRNA from 1 species